rnacentral:misc_RNA from 1 species
UUUUAUCUUCCAUCUCUAUUUUGCCAAUUUGUUUAUGCAACAUAAAAUAAUAUAUAUCUUUUGUUCAAUCCAUGUCAAUAUCUAUUUUAUUUUUUACAUUAUUUGAAUAAAACAUUCAAAAACAUAAACAUUAAAAAAAUAUAAAAAAUAAAUUUAAGGUUUAAAUUACAAAAUAAAAA